AGAAGUGUUUCUCACAAGCAGAGAGUCAGAGUGGACGUGAGGAUGGGACACACUUUGUUUGCUGUGUUGGGGCUUUUCUUGCUGAAUAUUCUCCUCUACUGUGGACACGCUCAAGAUGUCCCUCGUCCUGUCCUCACAGUGUCUCCAUCAUGGCCGAGUCCUGGAGACUCAGUGACUCUGACCUGCAGUGUUGAACCUCCGUCUGCAGGAUGGAGGUUCUUCUGGUAUAAGGCUGUUCACAAACUGUCACUG